UUUUUUUUUUUUUGCUUGUUUUUUUACAAUUGUUUUGAUGUUGCGAGGAUAAACAAUUUUGACUAGUUGACUGAUGGAAUAUACUACUUUAAUAGUAUGCCAAACUCACCAUUAAAUCUCCACGUAUCCAACUGUUAAGGUAUGGAGCCAUGCAUUAAAUGUUGCUCUUGAUUAAUUUUAUUGGGUUUACGUUGUAUCUAGUACGAGAAAUAUUGCCAUUUAUUUAUAUUCUUUUUCAUGUUAGGAACGAGUAGAUGACAGUCGAUUUAAUUGAUGGACUGCGCAAAAAGGGAUGCCUGGGUCGUAAGUCAAUUCCUCUAUUAUCAAGAUUCAAACCCCAUUAAGGUUAGGGUAUGAAAUCAUGCAUUAAAUUUGUUCCUCUCUCAAUAUAUGUAUAAUAUAGUUGUUGUAGGUACCUGAUUUGAUUUGGGAGUGCUCCUGACUGUAACGAGCCUAGGAGUUGCUGAUACUUGUCCUUUUCGUAGGUAUCAAUAUCCUUGUGGAUCUAGUAGUUUAUUCAUUCAGGUUCUAUAAUCACGUAAGCGAGAUGGAUUUACUAUACAUACGAAUAAUACGAGCAUCGAUCUAUACUUCGAUAUUCCUUUUGUAUUUUUGUGUAAGUUGUUUGACUUUUUUUUUCAAUAGUUUGAUUUUGCGAGGGAUCUGGCACAUUUGACUAGUGACUUUAUUGGAUAUACUACUUUAAUAGUAUGCAAACUCACAAUGAAAAUUCACAUCUCCAAAUGGUAAGGUAGGAGCCAUGCAUUAAAUGUUGCUCUUGAUUAAUUUAAUAGGUUGUGGAUCUAGGUACGAGAAAUAUGCCUUAUUUAUUCUUGUCUUGCUUAGAAUGACUAGAUAACCAUAAGAUUUGAUUGGAUGACUGCGUGAACGGGAGCCUUGGUCUUAAGUAAAUCCUCUUUUUCAAGAUUUACACCUAAGGGUUAUUUUUUUUUUUUUUUUUUUUUUUUUUUUUUUUUUUUUUUUUUUUUUUUUUUUUUUUUUUUUUUUUUUUUUUUUUUUUUUUUUUUUUUUUUUUUUUUUUUUUUUUUUUUUGUUUUUUUUCUUUUUUUUUUUUUUUUUUUCUUUCUUUUUUUUUUUUUUUUUUUUUGUUUUUUUUUUUUUUUUU
rnacentral:lncRNA from 1 species